rnacentral:rRNA from 1 species
GGGCCCGCACAAGCGGUGGAUGAUGUGGUUUAAUUCGAUGCAACGCGAAAAACCUUACCUACCUUUGACAUGCCAGGAACGCUGCAGAAAUGCAGCGGUGCCCGAAAGGGAACCUGGACACAGGUGCUGCAUGGCUGUCGUCAGCUCGUGUCGUGAGAUGUUGGGUUAAGUCCCGCAACGAGCGCAACCCUUGCCAUUAGUUGCUACAUUCAGUUGAGCACUCUAAUGGGACUGCCGGUGACAAACCGGAGGAAGGUGGGGAUGACGUCAAGUCCUCAUGGCCCUUAUAGGUAGGGCUACACACGUCAUACAAUGGCGCGUACAGAGGGUUGCCAACCAGUGAUGGGGAGCCAAUCCCAGAAAGCGCGUCGUAGUCCGGAUUGAAGUCUGCAACUCGACUUCAUGAAGUCGGAAUCGCUAGUAAUCGCGGAUCAGCAUGUCGCGGUGAAUACGUUCCCGGGCCUU